AAAAUGGCGGCAACUACAAGUGUAACGUUGGACUUGGAGCCAAUGGAGGAUGUUUUGGCUGAUCUUGACUUAAAUGACACCAUUGAAAAUUUCAAAUCGGAAAGAAUUGACUUGGAUAAUUUUUUAAGUCUUACAGAACAGCAAUUAAUCCGAUUAGGAGUAAAGACAAUAGGAGACAGGUUGCGGUUGACAGAAAGGAAAUCGCCGAGCCUAGAUACAACACCAAAAGAUCAGGGAGAAAUAUUAACUGAUGCAAAAGUAAGCUGCAAAGCCUGUCAUUGCCUGUUUUCAGUUCGUGAGUUAAGGGCACACAUUCAGACUUGCAUGGGUGGAAAAAGCAUAUGUGAAAAUGAAUUACUGGCACAAGAUCUAGAUAGUGAUGAUCUACCUGACCCAGAAAUUGGCAGGCAAGGGCAGUUGCCUGUGAUAAAUCCAACUCAAAGUUUCAUACCACUUCAAACCACAGACCAGGAUGUGAAUUUGAAUAAUACAGUUUUGUAUUUUAAUCCCCCUUUUGUUUUCAUUCCUGAGAAUGAGACUCAGCCUCAAAUGUCUACAGAAUGUAUUGUACCAAGCAUUGAUAGAAAUUCGUCUACUCCAAUUAUGAAAGAGGAUGAGUCUAAUCUUCCUGCUGCAAGUUGGACAAAUGGCACAGGCACACUUGAUGACCAGUCUCAAAAUGUUAGUAGCAGACCCUUACAAGCCUUUUUGGCAUUACAGCAAAGUACAACAAUUCCUUGGAUGUUACCUCUGCCGCAAGUUGCAUCACAUCUGUUGAAGCGACUGUAUGUGCAAAUGCACAUGAACCGUGUUUCUAAGUCCCGAGUCUGCUUCAGAGGAAAAGAGGCAAGAAGAUCAGACUAUUGA
rnacentral:sRNA from 1 species